rnacentral:lncRNA from 1 species
AUGGGUUUGGUUAUGUUCUGUAACUUUUCUUUUGUUGUUAAUUUAAGUACAUUAAGAUAUGGACUCUGUCUUUGCUCAGCACAGAGUGUUUUAAGUUUUUUUGGUUUUUUGUUUUCAGUUGGUUGUUAUCUUCCACCUCUAUCUAUAUGGGCAGAGGUUCGAAGUUGAGUAUUUGUGUUAAUCUUCCUUCCUCAAUAUUUUAUAAUAAAAAAAAUAUUUAAGUUUUUUAAAAAUAUUUUAUAUACCAGUGAUAUUGGAAGGGCUCUUAAUAAUUUAAUUAAAAAUAUAAUAAAAAUCCUAAUAAGUUUGAACAAAGCCAAAGUUGGGGAAUUACAAAGCAGGAACAAUAGCAAUGAGGGGAAGGGGGUGAUUAGGAGUAUAAGCCUUAUCAAAGUACUAUAUGCGUACUUUGAUAUUUAAAGUUAAUGUCGAUUAUACUUUUUUAAUGCUGAUAAUAGCUUCCUAAAUAUCAGUGUCUUCAUUAGCUAGAGUGGCCCUAAUCAGACAUUGUUAUAAAUCUAGAGAAAUUGGAGAGAAUUGAGAUAGAGAGAAACUGAUCUCUUAUUGAAUAUUUGUUCUUCACAUAUCUGUCUUACAAAGAGAAGGGGAAGGGGCUUAUUUAUAGGUAAGUAGAAGUGGGCUCCACCAUAUAUAUUUACAACAGACAUCUAUAUAUUAUUGUUUUUUAGGGACUAUCUAUGCUAGAAAGGAAAAAGUUCUAGCCUCCUCUCUCUCAAAAAAAAAAUAAAAAACUCUCUGAGUCCUUUUUAUUUUGAGGGGGAGGAAGUCAUUGUUCUUCCCCCCUUUCCGUUCUUCUUUUCUUCGCUUAUCUUCUUCUCCCAUUCUAAAAAACAGAAGGCUUCCACUAUUUGUCUUAUUUUAUUAUGAUUUUCCUUUAAUCAUUACAGACGGUUGAGUUACGGUGUUGGAUCUCUACUUGCGUUUCGCCGUUGGAUUUCCACCACCAUCCUUUUUGUGAUUUUUUUUAUAUAUUUGGAAUAAGUCGCAAAGACUCUUUGAGUUUUCUCUGUAGUUUUCACAUCUCCUUUUGUGAGAACUUUUCACCUUUCUUUUAUGAGAGCUUUUCAUAUCUUCUUUAUGAGAGUUUUAUUUGUAUUGUUAUGAUUUGAUUUUUUCAAGUUUUAUAUCUUUUUCAUUAUUCUGAGUUUGCAAUCUUAGUUGGAAUGCUUAUGCUAAAGUUUCUUCGAUCAUGCGUGAUCGUUAGUAGAGGCGCACAAAAUUGUCUUAAUUUUGAUGUUAAAUUGCUCUGUUAUUGUAAUGGCCCUUUGUGGCUAGUAGCUUUUUUGGUUAUUUAUGAAUGCAACCACAGAAUUUCUUAACUAAAAGAAAAAAGAAAAGGAAAAAGCUUGGCAGGGAGCCCAUCCUCCAAACAAAUAGAGUUUUGACACUUGGGAAAUUCCUUUUAUUUGUUUUGAAUUCCUUUUAACUUUAUUUCUUUCGAAAUUUUUUAAGUGUCAAAAUCUAAUUUAUUGUAAUGAUGUUUUCUUUCUCAAUUUUAAGGAGCCAAUCCAUGCUCUAGAAAAGAGCUGUAGUAAUUUAUGCUUUGAGAAGACACUGUAGGGGCUUUCGAAGGUGGAUAGAUUGGAUUUAGGGAAGCUGAGUUGCAGUGUGAUUUGGCAGUGGAAGCUGAGUUGGGAUUGGAAUUUGGACAAGAAGAAAGAGAAAGUUGCUGGAAGGACAACUUCGCCCUCAAUAUUGACAGAAAAAUGGAUGAUAUGUUUCAAAUUUGACAAUAGGGAGUAGAUUGACAAAAAAAAUUAGUUUGUAUCCUUAAUUGACUAAAAAAAGUUCAAAUUGGAAAAUCGAAAAUUACUUGAUAGUCCGGGACACAAUUCGGCAAUUUACUAAUGAAAUGAUUGCAUUACUAGCGUGUGUGAGGGUUUUGUAUAUAUGAUGGAUAUUCAAAUUAUUCAAUUAGGCCCCUUGUGACUUAUCCACUGCGACUAUAAAGGCACCCAAUUUUAUUUUUUUUGGUCGGAUAAAGGCACCGAAUUUGACGAUGAGAAUUGGACCCACCAUCCAGCCAAUUAAAUAGAACAUCACUCUCCACCGUCAGAUUGUCCAAAGUUAAAAAAAAGACCCAUCCCAUCUUAUCUCAACCCUUACUUUUAGUACAAACUUUCAUGUCAAGCAUCAUCAAUCCAUCACAGAUCUCUAAACACGGAGGAAACACGAGCGGACACGUAAGUGCCGACCUCCUGCCACGUGGCGCAAACCCAGUGCACCCGCUACCUCCUCUGUAUUUUACCCAAUAAAUCCAUUGAAGAUCCACCUCCUAUAAAUAGCUGCGAAAAUAUAAAUCUCAGCAACAAGGCUGCAAGUGCUAAAUCUAAUCUAGUGUUGAUCUCUUUGUUCGUAUUAAUAUUUUGUUGUUGGUGUGUGCGCUCUGAAAAUGUCUGAGUUGUUGGAAAAAGCCAAGAACUAUGUGGCUGAGAAAGUGGGUCAUGUGAAGAAGCCAGAGGCAGAAGUCACAGAUGUGGAUUUCAAGACGGUGAGCUUUGGAUCUGUUGAGUACCUUGCAAAAAUCUCUGUGACCAAUCCCUAUGGAGUUGACCUCCCCAUCUGUGAUAUCACUUACAACCUCAAAAGUGUUGGCAGGUUCCAAUUCUCACUUUCUAACACUUAGGGUUCAAUUUUUAUUUGUUUAUUUUUGUUAUAGAUGCUCAUUUGAUCCCUGUGUUUUGCUUGAAAUUUCUAAUUUGAUUUUUGUGUUUUCAAUUUCGUCAAUUUGGUCCCCUAUUUUCAUUUUCAUAAUGUGUAAGAAUCAAGAUUGUCAAACAUCGAAAUAGAUUACGGUCAAAUUAGGCAAAGGGAUCCUGAUUGUCAAAUUCAAAGCAUAGAGAACAGAAUAAAAAUUUGAACAGAACAUACGAUUGGUGUUGUGGUGUUGGUUUUACUUUGUUGGAAGAUAUCUCGAGUUCAAAUGCGAUCAAUACACAAUUUUUUGAUUUAAAAAAAAAAUAGAUUAGUUUCUAUGCCAUGAUCAUAUAUAUAAAGUGACUUGAUUUGUAUGUGUACAUGUGAAUUUGUAGGGAGAUUGUAUCUGGAACUGUACCAGAUCCUGGUUCCAUAGAAGGAAAGGACAUUACUGUGCUUGAGGUACUAUUAAAGGUGCCACAUAACAUAUUGUUGACCUUGGCAAAAGAUAUUGGAGCAGAUUGGGACAUUGAUUAUGAGCUGGAUAUAGGCCUCACCAUUGACCUUCCUGUCUUUGGCAACUUCACCAUACCACUUAACAAGAAGGGAGCGAUCAAGCUUCCCAGCCUCUUCUGAUCCAUAUGACCUUUGAGAUUCUAUGGCUUUGGUUAUAUUCUGUAACUUUUCUUUUGUUGUUAAUACAAGUACAUUAAGAAAUGGACUGUCUUUGCUCAGCAACCCC